rnacentral:rRNA from 1 species
UAGGGAAUCUUCGGCAAUGGACGAAAGUCUGUCCGAGCAACGCCGCGUGUGUGAAGAAGGUUCUCGGAUCGUAAAACUCUGUUGUUAGAGAAGAACAAGGACGUUAGUAACUGAACGUCCCCUGACGGUAUCUAACCAGAAAGCCACGGCUAACUACGUGCCAGCAGCCGCGGUAAUACGUAGGUGGCAAGCGUUGUCCGGAUUUAUUGGGCGUAAAGCGAGCGCAGGCGGUUUCUUAAGUCUGAUGUGAAAGCCCCCGGCUCAACCGGGGAGGGUCAUUGGAAAAUGGGAGAAUUGAGUGCAGAAGAGGAGAGUGGAAUUCCAUGUGUAGCGGUGAAAUGCGUAGAUAUAUGGAGGAACACCAGUGGCGAAGGCGGCUCUCUGGUCUGUAACUGACGCUGAGGCUCGAAAGCGUGGGGAGCAAACAGG